GAUGAACGCUGGCGGCGUGCUUAACACAUGCAAGUCGAACGGAAAGGCCCAAGCUUGCUUGGGUACUCGAGUGGCGAACGGGUGAGUAACACGUGGGUGAUCUGCCCUGCACUUCGGGAUAAGCCUGGGAAAAUGGGUCUAAUACCGGAUAGGACCACUUCUUGGAUGUUGUGGUGGAAAGUUUUUUCGGUGUGGGAUGAGCUCGCGGCCUAUCAGCUUGUUGGUGGGGUAAUGGCCUACCAAGGCGUCGACGGGUAGCCGGCCUGAGAGGGUGUACGGCCACAUUGAGACUGAGAUACGGCCCAGACUCCUACGGGAGGCAGCAGUGGGGAAUAUUGCACAAUGGGCGCAAGCCUGAUGCAGCGACGCCGCGUGGGGGAUGACGGCCUUCGGGUUGUAAACACCUUUCGCUAGGGACGAAGCGUUUUGUGACGGUACCUGAAGAAGAAGCACCGGCUAACUACGUG
rnacentral:rRNA from 1 species